UUUAAGCCUGCCUUAAACCUUGGAUCCUGACAAAUGGAAUCCCCACUGCCUGUCAUACGUGUUUUCUCUCUACAGAUUAGCGAGGGGCUGCUGCUUUAAAAAUGUUCCAUUCUCACAAAGCCUGGAAUUAUGCUCUCAAACCUACCAUGGGUCAGCAGAACAGUGCAGACAUCUGAUGUAGCCCCACCAGCAAAGGCAAAAGCAGACAUGUCAAAGAAACAAGGUUCCCUGUGAGAUCACACCCAUGGAGUUCACAGUGAAGGCUGAUGUGGACACAGCAGCACAUGCAGGCUGUGAUGAGAUGUAAUACCACAACAAGGAGUGGGACACUGGCACCCUCAGUCCUGCAGCCAUGGAUCAGGAGCUGUGGAACAAACUCACCAGGAGGCAGUAAGGAAAGGAGGUGGAUUAGUGCCAACUCACCCUUUAUUUGCAGAUACAUUCAGUUGUGCUUUCCUGAGACUGUGACCGAGUUCCCUUUUCCUACUAUAAAUUUUUCUAACUCUUUCCAAAA